UUAAUUGCAAGCAUUUUAAGAAUUUUCCUAAAAUUGAUAGGUUUCUUUAGACUUUGGAGUUUUCACUUUUAAUGAUGGGAGGGAUUUGUGUGUAAACUUUGGUUUUUUUGUUUUUAAAUACUUUCUUCACUUAUUACUAUUGAGAUUUAGUGUUAGGGUUUUGAUAUAUAAAGAGGUUUAAUGUUUAAUAGGGAGAAGACCUAGUGCUUCUUUAGACAUGAUCG
rnacentral:misc_RNA from 1 species